GUGAGAUGAAAAUGAGCAAAUUACAGCAGAGACUCAUCAAAUAAUGAACACAAAGCCCUUAAUAUUACAUGAAAUCCAGUCUUUCAUUUGUAAGUUUUUUUGCCUCCCUUGGGGGCUUCCUUUAAAGCCUUUGAAGUGAAUAAGAUGUUAUGUCUAUUAUGUUAAUAACGGAUCUAAAAUAUGAUGAUUUUACUAAUACUGUUGUAAUGGUGUUCACAUUUUGGAUUUGGGAACUUUACUUUUGAUUCUGUGUUAUUAUUUUUAUUUGGUUUCUUUUUUUCUGUUCUGCUUCUUAACUCUUGGUAAUACAUUGUAGCACAUGGCAGGGUGUGGCAGAUUUUUUAUGACUGAGGAAUAGGUGGUCCUACUCAGGUGCUUGAAUGUUAUUGGUUGGGACAGUCCUCUAAAACACCAAUACCUGGAUCAGGUAGAGAAAAAAGUCAGAGGGAAGCCUAGUAGCUCUUUGUCAGCUGCACCUUCACUCCUUCCUGAAGACUUCUUUGAGCAUUUUUGUUUGAUUUGCUUUCCAUUCACUGAGUCACCAAGGAAAUGAAGGAGCAAAAGGUUCAACAGUCGGAGAGGACACAGUGGCGGAAGACAUUGAUGUCCAACAACUGGAACGUUUAGUGGAGAUGCUGACACCUAGGGAGUGUGAGGACCUCCUGUCUGCCCUCUCUCACCCAGAGGAAAACAUAUUUGAGCAC
ensembl:lncRNA